AAUGCAUGAUGAGAGCAUUUUCUAAGCAUUUCCUUAAAUCUUUCCCAAUUCUCAUAAAUGGAUUUUCCUUCAAACUAAGUAAAAGAAGUUAUGUCAUUUCUAAGUUU